rnacentral:rRNA from 1 species
UACAGAGGGGGCAAGCGUUAAUCGGAAUUACUGGGCGUAAAGGGUGCGCAGGCGGUUAUAUAAGACAGAUGUGAAAUCCCCGGGCUCAACCUGGGAACUGCGUUUGUGACUGUAUGACUAGAGUACGGUAGAGAGGGGUGGAAUUCCUGGUGUAGCAGUGAAAUGCGUAGAUAUCAGGAGGAACAUCGAUGGCGAAGGCAGCCCCUUGGACCUGUACUGACGCUCAUGCACGAAAGCGUGGGGAGCAAACAGG